GACGAACGCUGGCGGCGUGCUUAACACAUGCAAGUCGAACGGAAAGGCCCUGCUUUUGUGGGGUGCUCGAGUGGCGAACGGGUGAGUAACACGUGAGUAACCUGCCCUUGACUUUGGGAUAACUUCAGGAAACUGGGGCUAAUACCGGAUAGGAGCUCCUGCUGCAUGGUGGGGGGUGGAAAGUUUCGGCGGUUGGGGAUGGACUCGCGGCUUAUCAGCUUGUUGGUGGGGUAGUGGCUUACCAAGGCUUUGACGGGUAGCCGGCCUGAGAGGGUGACCGGACAAAUUGGGAUUGAGAUACGGCCCAGACUCCUACGGGAGGCAGCGGUGGGGAAUAUUGCACAAUGGGCGGAAGCCUGAUGCAGCAACGCCGCGUGCGGGAUGACGGCCUUCGGGUUGUAAACCGCUUUCGCCUGUGACGAAGCGUGAGUGACGGUAAUGGGUAAAGAAGCACCGGCUAACUACGUG
rnacentral:rRNA from 1 species